UCUCCUCAUUCAUUCACUAUAUAAAUAUAUUUAUAAAAAAAAAGAAAAAAACUUUUCUGAAACAAAAGCCGUUUGGAAACUCGCAGAAGCUACGCUCUGUUUUGCAGCCUUUUCACUUUUCAGAUUCUCUGGCAGUCGCCGUCGUGGGCCGCCGUUUUGAGGUUGAGCACCACCGUAAUGGGGGCACAUUAAUUUCUGAGCUUGGGUUUUUGGAUUUCAGGUCAUUUAAGGGUUCUUGAGGGGUUUCCUCUGUUUUCGAGAUUUAUUGCUCUGUUUUUUUUUUUGAACUUCAAAAUUGGAGGAAUUUUUGGAGGUGAAGGAACAGAUCUGUUUCAUUUAAGAUCUGCACAGAUUUAGACGUUUAAUUUUAAAAAAAAAUGUUGGGACAGAGACAAGCAGAGGAAGCAAUUGUUCCGACCGCCGCAAAUGAAGCGGAAAACAGCGGCGGAAAGGAGGAAGGAGAAGAAGAGAACUCUGUUUUCCAAAUGAAAGAUCUACUCUGGCACGGCGGCUCCGCCUGGGAUGCCUGGUUUAGCUGUGCCUCAAAUCAAGUGGCUCAAGUGCUUUUAACACUGCCGUAUUCAUUUUCCCAGCUGGGAAUGCUGUCCGGAAUCAUGUUCCAAAUAUUCUAUGGGAUGCUCGGAAGUUGGACGGCGUAUUUGAUCAGUGUUCUGUAUAUUGAAUACAGAAGCCGGAAGGAGAAGGAGAACGUUAGCUUCAAAAACCAUGUGAUUCAGUGGUUCGAAGUUCUUGAUGGGCUUUUGGGACCUCAAUGGAAGGCCGUGGGGCUGGCUUUCAACUGUACUUUCCUUCUCUUUGGAUCUGUCAUCCAGCUUAUUGGAUGCGCAAGUAAUAUAUAUUACAUUAAUGACCACUUGGACAAAAGAACGUGGACUUACAUUUUCGGAGCAUGCUGCGCCACCACUGUUUUCAUCCCUUCCUUUCAUAACUACCGGAUUUGGUCCUUUCUCGGCCUUGGAAUGACCACUUACACCGCCUGGUACUUGGCCGUCGCCGCCCUCGUCCACGGCCAGGUCGACGGUGUUAUCCAUUCCGGCCCGACAAAGCUGGUGCUCUACUUCACUGGCGCCACCAAUAUUCUUUACACAUUCGGCGGCCACGCUGUCACUGUGGAAAUAAUGCACGCGAUGUGGAAACCCCAGAAGUUCAAGGCUAUUUACUUGAUGGCCACGCUGUACGUUUUCACUUUAACGCUUCCGUCAGCUUCAGCCGUUUACUGGGCUUUUGGCGACGAGCUUCUCAACCAUUCCAACGCUUUCUCUCUCCUCCCCAAGAACCGAUUCCGUGACGCCGCCGUUAUCUUGAUGCUCAUUCACCAGUUCAUAACGUUUGGGUUCGCAUGUACGCCGCUAUACUUUGUGUGGGAGAAAGUGAUUGGAAUGCACGACACAAAAAGCCUGUGUUUGAGGGCUCUUGUGAGGCUGCCUGUGGUUAUUCCCAUAUGGUUUUUGGCUAUCAUUUUCCCUUUCUUUGGGCCCAUCAACUCUGCCGUCGGCGCCCUUUUGGUCAGCUUCACUGUCUACAUCAUCCCCGCCGCCGCCCAUAUGCUCACUUACAGGAAGCCCUCAGCCAGACAGAAUGCGGCGGAGAAGCCGCCGUUCUUCCUCCCAAGCUGGACAGCUAUGUACGUAUUGAACAGCUUCAUAGUGGUCUGGAUCUUGGUGGUCGGGUUCGGGUUCGGCGGCUGGGCCAGCGUCACCAACUUCGUUCGACAGAUCGACUCCUUUGGCCUCUUCGCCAAGUGCUACCAAUGCAAGUCCUCCCUCGCCCCUCCGCCGACACAUCGUCACUGACUCGCUCUAUUCUGUAGCAUAUGGUAGAGGAAAAAUAGUAAUAUUUUUCCUCUUCAAAAAAAAAAAAAAUUUAAUUUUCAUGUGUGUAACUCUCGGAU